GAAUUCACUAGUGAUUCAGGCCUAACACAUGCAAGUCGAGCGGGGUUUUCGGACCUAGCGGCGGACGGGUGAGUAAUGCGUAGGAAGCUACCCGAUAGAGGGGGAUACCAGUUGGAAACGACUGUUAAUACCGCAUAAUGUCUACGGACCAAAGUGUGGGACCUUCGGGCCACAUGCUAUCGGAUGCGCCUACGUGGGAUUAGCUAGUUGGUGAGGUAAUGGCUCACCAAGGCGACGAUCUCUAGCUGGUUUGAGAGGAUGAUCAGCCACACUGGAACUGAGACACGGUCCAGACUCCUACGGGAGGCAGCAGUGGGGAAUAUUGGACAAUGGGCGCAAGCCUGAUCCAUCAAGGCCGCGUGUGUGAAGAAGGCCUUCGGG
rnacentral:rRNA from 1 species